rnacentral:rRNA from 1 species
UACGAAGGGGGCUAGCGUUGCUCGGAAUCACUGGGCGUAAAGGGUGCGUAGGCGGGUCUUUAAGUCAGGGGUGAAAUCCUGGAGCUCAACUCCAGAACUGCCUUUGAUACUGGGGAUCUUGAGUUCGGGAGAGGUGAGUGGAACUGCGAGUGUAGAGGUGAAAUUCGUAGAUAUUCGCAAGAACACCAGUGGCGAAGGCGGCUCACUGGCCCGAUACUGACGCUGAGGCACGAAAGCGUGGGGAGCAAACAGG